AGAGAGGUGGCCGAGUGGCUGAAGGCGCACGCUUGGAAAGCGUGUAUAUGGUAACAUAUCGAGGGUUCGAAUCCCUUCCUCUCUGC
rnacentral:tRNA from 1 species